AAUAGGGUUACAAUCAAUCACUCCACAAUCUCCCCCUUUUUGAUGAUGACAAAGCAUUGAGUAUAUGUAAAGUGAAUUGCUCAACCAAAAAGAAAAUUUACAGUAAAAUUUCAAAAUGAAUUCAAGUGUCUAGUUAUUUGAUUUAUCCAAAACUGAAAGGUGUGAAACAGUAAAUUUUGAAGUUAAAGCUCCCCCUUUUAUUUGGAAUUAUAUAAGCCUUCAUAUCAUGCAAUCAAUUGUUUGGCUUAUAUAUAUUUAAUGAUUUUGCUUUCUUAAAAAUUCAGAUUCUCCCCCUCAACAUAUGCAUUCAACUUUGUUUUGAUUUUCUGAAUUUUCUUUUAGUGCAUUGAAACUUUUGAAUUGAAAUUUUUGGUUUUUAGA
rnacentral:lncRNA from 1 species